AUUGAACGCUGGCGGCAUGCCUAACACAUGCAAGUCGAACGGUAACAGGCCCUUCGGGUGCUGACGAGUGGCGGAUGGGUGAGUAAUACUUAGGAAUCUACCCUGUAGUGGGGGACAACCCGGGGAAACUCGGGCUAAUACCGCAUACGCUCUACGGAGGAAAGCGGGGGACCGCAAGGCCUCGCGCUAUUGGAUGAGCCUAAGCCCGAUUAGCUAGUUGGUGGGGUAAUAGCCUACCAAGGCAAUGAUCGGUAGCUGGUCUGAGAGGACGACCAGCCACACUGGGACUGAGACACGGCCCAGACUCCUACGGGAGGCAGCAGUGGGGAAUAUUGGACAAUGGGCGAAAGCCUGAUCCAGCGAUGCCGCGUGUGUGAAGAAGGCCUGCGGGUUGUAAAGCACUUUC
rnacentral:rRNA from 1 species